GACGAACGCUGGCGGCGUGCUUAACACAUGCAAGUCGAACGCUGAAGCCCUUCGGGGUGGAUGAGUGGCGAACGGGUGAGUAACACGUGGGUAAUCUGCCCUGCACUCUGGGAUAAGCCUUGGAAACGGGGUCUAAUACCGGAUAGGACACAUCGCCGCAUGGUGUGUGUGUGGAAAGUUCCGGCGGUGCAGGUUGAGCCCGCGGCCUAUCAGCUUGUUGGUGGGGUGAUGGCCUACCAAGGCGACGACGGGUAGCCGGCCUGAGAGGGUGUCCGGCCACACGGGGACUGAGACACGGCCCAGACUCCUACGGGAGGCAGCAGUGGGGAAUCUUGCGCAAUGGGCGAAAGCCUGACGCAGCAACGCCGCGUGGGGGAUGACGGCCUUCGGGUUGUAAACCUCUUUCGACCGGGACGAAGGAUUCGUUUGACGGUACCGGUAGAAGAAGCACCGGCUAACUACGUGCCAGCCGCCGCAGUAAAAC
rnacentral:rRNA from 1 species